rnacentral:rRNA from 1 species
AACGAACGCUGGCGGCAUGCCUAACACAUGCAAGUCGAACGAGACCUUCGGGUCUAGUGGCGCACGGGUGCGUAACGCGUGGGAAUCUGCCCUUGGGUUCGGAAUAACAGUUAGAAAUGACUGCUAAUACCGGAUGAUGACUUCGGUCCAAAGAUUUAUCGCCCAAGGAUGAGCCCGCGUCGGAUUAGCUUGUUGGUGAGGUAAAAGCUCACCAAGGCGACGAUCCGUAGCUGGUCUGAGAGGAUGAUCAGCCACACUGGGACUGAGACACGGCCCAGACUCCUACGGGAGGCAGCAGUGGGGAAUUUUGGACAAUGGGCGCAAGCCUGAUCCAGCAAUGCCGCGUGCAGGAAGAAGGCCUUCGGGUUGUAAAGCUCUUUUGUCCGGGAAGAUAAUGACUGUACCGGAAGAAUAAGCCCCGGCUAACUUCGUGCCAGCAGCCGCCGUAAAAC